AGGGCAUGAUGGUCAUUUCACAUCCCUUGUUCCUUUUAAUUUGCCAAAAACGCCUCCUCCCUUCUCAUUCUCCUCUGCUACCGACUUGAAUAAAAGGAGAAGGAACAUAGAAAGCUUGAAAGGGUGAGAGGAAGACGAGCGACCACGAAGAAGAAUCAGAGGUGUUUUCUUUGCAUGUAAGCGUGCUUUUCUGAUUAAGGAUUUGAUAUUUAUUCAAGUCCAUCAAGAAGAGAGCCAAGGAAGAAGCAAGGGGAAGUUAGUGCUGAAGAAAAAGCAAAAGCAAGAACAAAUAC